rnacentral:tRNA from 1 species
GGGGGCGUAGCUCAGUGGCAGAGCGUCUCAUUUGCAUUCGCAAGACGAUCCAACUUUGAGAAGGUCUGGGGUUCAAUCCCCCACGCCUCCA